GUCCCUGUAGUGCAAUGGAUAGCGCUUUAGACUUCGAAUCCAAGGGUCGUGGGUUCGAAUCCCACCUGGGAAG
rnacentral:tRNA from 1 species